UACGGAGGAUGCGAGCGUUAUCCGGAUUUAUUGGGUUUAAAGGGGGCGUAGGUGGAUUGUUAAGUCAGUUGUGAAAGUUUGCGGCUCAACCGUAAAAUUGCAGUUGAAACUGGCAGUCUUGAGUACAGUAGAGGUGGGCGGAAUUCGUGGUGUAGCGGUGAAAUGCUUAGAUAUCACGAAGAACUCCGAUUGCGAAGGCAGCUCACUGGACUGUUGACUGACACUGAGGCUCGAAAGUGUGGGUAUCAAACAGG
rnacentral:rRNA from 1 species